rnacentral:rRNA from 1 species
AACGAACGCUAGCGGGAUGCCUCAAACAUGCAAGUCGAACGAGAAAGUACCUUCGGGUGCGAGUACAGUGGCGCACGGGUGCGUAACACGUAGCUAACGUCCCCCCUCGCUGGGGAUAACUCCGGGAAACCGGAGCUAAUACCGAAUGAUCUGAUACGGUCUGCGGACUGUAUCGGUAAAGCUUUCGGGCGCGAGGGGAUCGGGCUGCGUCCCAUUAGUUUGAUGGUGGGGUAACGGCCUACCAUGACUACGAUGGGUAGCUGGUCUGAGAGGAUGAUCAGCCACACUGGAACUGAAACACGGUCCAGACUCCCACGGGAGGCAGCAGUUGGGAAUAUUGGACAAUGGGAGAAAUCCUGAUCCAGCAAUCCCGCGUGAGUGAUGAAGGCCCUCGGGUCGUAAAGCUCUUUCAGCAGGGACGAAGAUCUGACGGUACCUGCAGAAGAAGCACCGGCUAACUCCG